AUUCAUCGGUAGGUAAGGCUACCAUAGGGAUAUGGGCUGCUGCCGCAAAGUAGUGGAGACACUACGAGAGGGUCAGCAGGUGACAUCGACAAGAAGGUGUUACUUAAUGCAGCUUCACCGCCCUAUGAUGCUAAAGCU
rnacentral:sRNA from 1 species